rnacentral:rRNA from 1 species
CGAGGCGCGGCCUACACAUGCAAGUCGAACGGUAGCACAGAGAGCUUGCUCUCGGGUGACGAGUGGCGGACGGGUGAGUAAUGUCUGGGAAACUGCCUGAUGGAGGGGGAUAACUACUGGAAACGGUAGCUAAUACCGCAUAACGUCGCAAGACCAAAGAGGGGGACCUUCGGGCCUCUUGCCAUCAGAUGUGCCCAGAUGGGAUUAGCUAGUAGGUGGGGUAACGGCUCACCUAGGCGACGAUCCCUAGCUGGUCUGAGAGGAUGACCAGCCACACUGGAACUGAGACACGGUCCAGACUCCUACGGGAGGCAGCAGUGGGGAAUAUUGCACAAUGGGCGCAAGCCUGAUGCAGCCAUGCCGCGUGUAUGAAGAAGGCCUUCGGGUUGUAAAGUACUUUCAGCGGGGAGGAAGGUGUUGUGGUUAAUAACCACAGCAAUUGACGUUACCCGCAGAAGAAGCACCGGCUAACUCCGUGCCAGCAGCCGCGGUAAUACGGAGGGUGCAAGCGUUAAUCGGAAUUACUGGGCGUAAAGCGCACGCAGGCGGUCUGUCAAGUCGGAUGUGAAAUCCCCGGGCUCAACCUGGGAACUGCAUUCGAAACUGGCAGGCUGGAGUCUUGUAGAGGGGGGUAGAAUUCCAGGUGUAGCGGUGAAAUGCGUAGAGAUCUGGAGGAAUACCGGUGGCGAAGGCGGCCCCCUGGACAAAGACUGACGCUCAGGUGCGAAAGCGUGGGGAGCAAACAGGAUUAGAUACCCUGGUAGUCCACGCCGUAAACGAUGUCGAUUUGGAGGUUGUGCCCUUGAGGCGUGGCUUCCGGAGCUAACGCGUUAAAUCGACCGCCUGGGGAGUACGGCCGCAAGGUUAAAACUCAAAUGAAUUGACGGGGGCCCGCACAAGCGGUGGAGCAUGUGGUUUAAUUCGAUGCAACGCGAAGAACCUUACCUGGUCUUGACAUCCACAGAACUUUCCAGAGAUGGAUUGGUGCCUUCGGGAACUGUGAGACAGGUGCUGCAUGGCUGUCGUCAGCUCGUGAUGUGAAAUGUUGGGUUAAGUCCCGCAACCACCGCACCCCUUAUCCUUUGUUGCNAUCGGUUAGGCCGGGAACNCAAAGGAAACUGCCAUGGAAAACUGGAGGAAGGGGGGGAUGACGUCAAGUCAUCAUGGCCCUUACAACAGGG